UUUGUUUUUUUCCUGAUGACUUUUUUUUUAUCACUAAAACUAGAAUACACAUAUUAUUUGCUCAGAUUUACACUCAAAGAUGAGAAGUAUGAGAAAAUAUAUUAUUUUUAAUGAUUUUUUUAAUACUGACCGCGCAUCGUGCGGGUACGAAUACUAUUCUUAUAUUUAUAUAUAAUAGGAGAGGCAAAAGAACAAUACGAUGACAAGUGUCAUUACCACAAAAAUCAGAAUUUAAAAGUUUUUUAAAUCAAAAUAAAAAACAAAAAUCACAUAGUUAAAAAAAACUGCAAUGAGUAAAUUACUCAGCAAAGUAAAAAAUAAAGAAACUGCAAAGGCAAAAGAAAAAUGCAAGGAGCGUAUAAAAAUAAAAAAAAAUUCCAAACCUCCAAGUUAACUUCCCAUGUCUCAAACCCCAGAAAUUAUCUUUCAGUUUCCACCGUCAAAGCCUCUCUCACUAUCGCUAUUGAAGUGAAUAGCUCUUUUGAUUUCUAUUGCUGUAACAACAAUUUGGAGUGCUAUGACUUGCACAUCAUUCAACAUCCCAAGAGGUGAACCAGAGUGGUGGCUAGCUAGAGGGAAGUAGAAAUGUCAAUCUCUUUCACCGGCGAAAUCGACCUUUCUUCUCAUGCCCAAUCUAUUCAUUCUUCAACUCAUGACUAAGAUGUGAUUUUACUCUUAC